rnacentral:rRNA from 1 species
CGCGUAGGCGGUUUAUCAAGUCGCAUGUGAAAUACCAGGGCUCAACCCUGGGAGGUCAUGCGAAACUGAUGGACUUGAGUGCAGUAGAGGAAAGCAGAAUUCCUGGUGUAGCGGUAAAAUGCGUAGAGAUCAGGAGGAACACCGGUGGCGAAGGCGGCUUUCUGGGCUGUAACUGACGCUGAGGCGCGAAAGCGUGGGGAGCAAACAGGAUUAGAUACCCUGGUAGUCCACGCUGUAAACGAUGAAUACUAGGUGUAGGGGACGCAGGUCUUCUGUGCCGGAGCUAACGCAAUAAGUAUUCCGCCUGGGGAGUACGGCCGCAAGGUUGAA